rnacentral:rRNA from 1 species
UACAGAGGGGGCAAGCGUUGUUCGGAAUUACUGGGUGUAAAGGGCGCGUAGGCGGCCUUCUAAGUCGAACGUGAAAUCCCCGGGCUCAACCCGGGAACUGCGUCCGAUACUGGAAGGCUUGAAUCCGGGAGAGGGAUGUGGAAUUCCAGGUGUAGCGGUGAAAUGCGUAGAUAUCUGGAGGAACACCGGUGGCGAAGGCGACAUCCUGGACCGGUAUUGACGCUGAGGCGCGAAAGCCAGGGGAGCAAACGGG